CCUACGGGGAGCAGCAGUGAGGAAUAUUGGUCAAUGGACGAGAGUCUGAACCAGCCAAGUAGCGUGAAGGAUGACUGCCCUAUGGGUUGUAAACUUCUUUUAUAUGGGAAUAAAACGUUCCACGUGUGGGAUUUUGUAUGUACCAUAUGAAUAAGGAUCGGCUAACUCCGUGCCAGCAGCCGCGGUAAUACGGAGGAUCCGAGCGUUAUCCGGAUUUAUUGGGUUUAAAGGGAGCGUAGGUGGAUUGUUAAGUCAGUUGUGAAAGUUUGCGGCUCAACCGUAAAAUUGCAGUUGAAACUGGCAGUCUUGAGUACAGUAGAGGUGGGCGGAAUUCGUGGUGUAGCGGUGAAAUGCUUAGAUAUCAUGAAGAACUCCGAUUGCGAAGGCAGUUCACUGGACUGCAACUGACACUGAGGCUCGAAAGUGUGGGUAUCAAACAGGAUUAGAUACCCUAGUAGUC
rnacentral:rRNA from 1 species